rnacentral:tRNA from 2 species
GGUAAAAUGGCCGAGCAGGCGGUGGAUUGUAGUCCCAUGGACAGAGGUUAAAGUCCUCUUUUUAUCA